CAGAGCUGCCAAUCACCCCGGGAAGGCUCAGGAGGCUCCAGAUUGGUCGGAACAGGCUGAGGCUGUACUGAUUGGCCACAGCCCAGAGGCGGUGCUUUGGGCACUGGAGGUCCUGGCCAAUCAGAGCACAAGAGCUCUCCUGGCUGGCCCCGCCCCCUCAGCCGAGGCCCCGCC